rnacentral:misc_RNA from 1 species
GGAAGGAUCAUUACAGAGUUCAUGCCCGAAAGGGUAGACCUCCCACCCUUGUGUAUUAUUACUUUGUUGCUUUGGCGAGCUGCCUUUGGGCCUUGUAUGCUCGCCAGAGACUAAUCAAACUCUUUUUAUUAAUGUCGUCUGAGUACUAUAUAAUAGUUAAAACUUUCAACAACGGAUCUCUUGGUUCUGGCAUCGAUGAAGAACGCAGCGAAAUGCGAUAAGUAAUGUGAAUUGCAGAAUUCAGUGAAUCAUCGAAUCUUUGAACGCACAUUGCGCCCCUUGGUAUUCCGGGGGGCAUGCCUGUUCGAGCGUCAUUUCAACCCUCAAGCUCAGCUUGGUAUUGAGUCCAUGUCAGUAAUGGCUGUCUCUAAAAUCAGUGGCGGCGCCGCUGGGUCCUGAACGUAGUAAUAUCUCUCGUUACAGGUUCUCGGUGUGCUUCUGCCAAAACCCAAUUCUUUUUAUGGUUGACCUCGGAUCAGGUAGGGAUACCCGCUGAACUUAAGCAUAUCAAUAAGCGGAGGAAAAGAAACCAACAGGGAUUACCUCAGUAACGGCGAGUGAAGCGGUAAAAGCUCAAAUUUGAAAUCUGGCUCUUUUAGAGUCCGAGUUGUAAUUUGUAGAAGAUGCUUCGGGUGUGGUUCCGGUCUAAGUUCUUUGGAACAGGACGUCAUAGAGGGUGAGAACCCCGUAUGUGACUGGAUACCUAUGCUCAUGUGAAGCUCUUUCGACGAGUCGAGUUGUUUGGGAAUGCAGCUCAAAAUGGGUGGUAUAUUUCAUCUAAAGCUAAAUAUUGGCCAGAGACCGAUAGCGCACAAGUAGAGUGAUCGAAAGAUGAAAAGCACUUUGGAAAGAGAGUUAAACAGUACGUGAAAUUGUUGAAAGGGAAGCGCUUGCAAUCAGACUUGCACUUGGUGUUCAUCAGGGGUUCUUCCCCUGUGUACUUCAUCAAGUUCAGGCCAGCAUCAGUUUGAGUGGUUAGAUAAAGGCUUAGAGAACGUGGCCCUCUUCGGGGGGUGUUAUAGCUCUAGGUGCAAUGUAGCCUACUUGGACUGAGGACCGCGCUUCGGCUAGGAUGCUGGCGUAAUGGUUGUAAGCGACCCGUCUUGAAACACGGACCAAGGAGUGUACCUAAUAUGCGAGUGUUUGGGUGUUAAACCCAUACGCGUAAUGAAAGUGAACGGAGGUGAGAACCCUUAAGGGUGCAUCAUCGACCGAUCCUGAUGUCUUCGGAUGGAUUUGAGUAAGAGCAUAUUGGGUGCGACCCGAAAGAUGGUGAUCUUUACGUGAAUAGGGUGAAGCCAGAGGAAACUCUGGUGGAGGCUCGCAGCGGUUCUGACGUGCAAAUCGAUCGUCAAAUUUGCGUAAAGGGGCGAAAGACUAAUCGAACCAUCUAGUAGCUGGUUCCUGC